AUAAAGGGAAAGUAGAAGAGAGGAAAUGUCAGUGAUGAUAAUAUUAGUAAGAAGAAGAAGAUGAUGAUGGAAUUAAAUAGUGUUUUUUUUAUUUUAUAAAGUUUAAUAAAAAUGAAUAUUGAAGGAACGGUAAAAAAAAAUAUUACGGUUUAAAAUACCUUAUUUUUUCCUAAGGACUUGUUCCUUACUAUAAAUGUGGAAAAAUGGUGAGUAAUAUAUUCUACAACAUUAAGAUCUGGCAGUUUUUUUAUUUCAGUAAAAU
rnacentral:lncRNA from 1 species